GACACCAUAGCCAAGUGGUCUAAGGCGACAGAUUCGAAUCACGUGGACCAUCUGUUGGGGUUUCCCCGCGCAGGUUCGAACCCUGCUGGUGUCG